rnacentral:misc_RNA from 1 species
CGACUUUUAUCUAUAGCUUUUUUUGUCUAAGAAAACCCUAGAGGGUAGGUGUAGCGGCCGCGAUUGGACAAGAAAACCGAAGGGAUUCUUGUUUUGAAGAGAAGAUUCUAAAACAGUUUUUGCAUAAAACCCUAACGGUUACUUCAGGAAGUACAGUCAUAGUCGGACCAAUGUCACGGUGCUUUCCUUACCCGCCUCCGAGGUUCUUGAGGAUCGGAGAGCGGUGUGAGUCCGUGAGCGAAUCAAUUAAGGUUCGUUGAGCAAACUUGGUUUUUGCGUUGUGCUCAACUGCUUUUAUUGUCAAUUUUUGUAAUUGUAAUCUUUGAAAUGAAAAUUUUUAGGUUUACCCUAUUUCUUUUGUUUUGAGGACCCG